CCUUCAUUCUGUAUUGCAUUAGAGAGAUGGAUUUUGGCGUAUAUUUAAGUCAUACUCUCAACUGUAACUCAUUUUUCAUAUAUACGUAAGUUUUCUGGAGGUAAUUGAAUGUUUUGAGUAGGUAUAAAUUGCUUUCAUGGUUAUUUUAGGUAUUAUGGCGCCUGUGUUUACGCUGUUUUAGUAGAUUUUGCGUCAUUAUAUUGAAUUUUAGCUCAAUUUUAAGUCAUUUUUCAAGUCUACUAAUUUUUCUGGAGCCAUAUUGAAUGUUUUGACGAAGUUGGUGUCAUGGUUCUUUUAGGUGUUAUGGCGCAUGUGUUUAGGCUACGUUCCUUUAAUUUAUGUUGCGUCACUAUGUUGAAUCUUAGCUCAAUUUUAAGUCAUUUUUCAUAUAUAAGUUUUUUGGAGCUAAUUGAAUGUUUUGAGUAAAUCUAAGUUGCUUUCAUGGUUCUUUUAGGUACUAUGGCGCCUGUGUUUAUGUUCUUUUAGGAGAUAUUGCGUCAUUAUUUUGAAUUUUAGGUCAAUUUUAAGUCAUUUUUCAUAUUUAAGUUUUUUGGAGCUAAUUGAAUGUUUUGAGUAAAUAUAAAUUGCUCUCAUGGUUCUUUUAGGUACUAUGGCGCCUGUGUUUAUGUUCUUUUAGGAGAUAUUGCGUCACUAUGUUGAAUUUUAGCUCAAUUUUAAGUA